GCGUUUGCCGCUGUGAGAAGGUGGUUGGUUAGGGGUUUUGUGUUCUUGGGAAGUGAUGGAGGGAGGAGGAGGAAGAGUACAAUUUCUGGGGAUUGGGGCAGUUGUACGUUGGUGAUGGUGUGAAUCAUCUUAAUGAUUUUGGACCAGUAAGUGCAGAUGACUGGACACGUCCACCAUAUGUGGCUUGGGGUUCCCUGAGGGUGUUGGCAUCUCCAGCACUGCGCGGAGGCAUUCGGGAAGAUUGCAUGUAUUUUGGAAGGAGUAAGG